GACGAACGCUGGCGGCGUGCCUAAUACAUGCAAGUUGAGCGCUGAAGGUUGGUUCUUGUACCAACUGGAUGAGCAGAGAACGGGUGAGUAACGCGUGGGGAAUCUGCCUUUGAGUGGGGGACAACAUUUGGAAACGAAUGCUAAUAGCGCAUAAAAACUUUAAACACAAGUUUUAAGUUUGAAAGAUGCAAGUGCAUCACUGAAAGAUGAUCUCGCGUUGUAUUAGCUAGUUGGUGAGGUAAAGCCUCACCAAGGCGAGGAUACAUAGCCGACCUGAGAUGAUGAGCCGCCACAUUGGGAGGGAGACACGCCACAAACUGAUACGGAAGGCAGCAGUAGUGAAUCGUGGGCAAUGGACGAAAGUCUGACCGAGAAACGCCGCGGGAGUGAAGAAGGUCUUCGGGUCGGAAAAGUCGGUUGGUAGAGAAGAACGUUGGUGAGCGUGGAAAGCAGAUCAAGUGACGGUAACUAGUCAAGAAGCGCCGGCUAACUACGUG
rnacentral:rRNA from 1 species